rnacentral:rRNA from 1 species
AGUCGAGCGGUAACAUGUAUCAGAAAGCUUGCUUUUUUUGAUGACGAGCGGCGGACGGGUGAGUAAUGCCUGGGAAUAUGCCUUGAUGUGGGGGAUAACCAUUGGAAACGAUGGCUAAUACCGCAUAAUGCCUACGGGCCAAAGAGGGGGAUCUUCGGACCUCUCGCGUCAAGAUUAGCCCAGGUGGGAUUAGCUAGUUGGUGAGGUAAUGGCUCACCAAGGCGACGAUCCCUAGCUGGUCUGAGAGGAUGAUCAGCCACACUGGAACUGAGACACGGUCCAGACUCCUACGGGAGGCAGCAGUGGGGAAUAUUGCACAAUGGGCGCAAGCCUGAUGCAGCCAUGCCGCGUGUGUGAAGAAGGCCUUCGGGUUGUAAAGCACUUUCAGUCGUGAGGAAGGUAGUUGCGUUAAUAGCGUAAUUAUUUGACGUUAGCGACAGAAGAAGCACCGGCUAACUCCGUGCCAGCAGCCGCGGUAAUACGGAGGGUGCGAGCGUUAAUCGGAAUUACUGGGCGUAAAGCGCAUGCAGGUGGUUUGUUAAGUCAGAUGUGAAAGCCCGGGGCUCAACCUCGGAAUUGCAUUUGAAACUGGCAGACUAGAGUACUGUAGAGGGGGGUAGAAUUUCAGGUGUAGCGGUGAAAUGCGUAGAGAUCUGAAGGAAUACCGGUGGCGAAGGCGGCCCCCUGGACAGAUACUGACACUCAGAUGCGAAAGCGUGGGGAGCAAACAGGAUUAGAUACCCUGGUAGUCCACGCCGUAAACGAUGUCUACUUGGAGGUUGUGGCCUUGAGCCGUGGCUUUCGGAGCUAACGCGUUAAGUAGACCGCCUGGGGAGUACGGUCGCAAGAUUAAAACUCAAAUGAAUUGACGGGGGCCCGCACAAGCGGUGGAGCAUGUGGUUUAAUUCGAUGCAACGCGAAGAACCUUACCUACUCUUGACAUCCAGAGAAGCCAGCGGAGACGCAGGUGUGCCUUCGGGAACUCUGAGACAGGUGCUGCAUGGCUGUCGUCAGCUCGUGUUGUGAAAUGUUGGGUUAAGUCCCGCAACGAGCGCAACCCUUAUCCUUGUUUGCCAGCGAGUAAUGUCGGGAACUCCAGGGAGACUGCCGGUGAUAAACCGGAGGAAGGUGGGGACGACGUCAAGUCAUCAUGGCCCUUACGAGUAGGGCUACACACGUGCUACAAUGGCGCAUACAGAGGGCUGCCAACCAGCGAUGGUGAGCGAAUCCCAAAAAGUGCGUCGUAGUCCGGAUUGGAGUCUGCAACUCGACUCCAUGAAGUCGGAAUCGCUAGUAAUCGUGGAUCAGAAUGCCACGGUGAAUACGUUCCCGGGCCUUGUACACACCGCCCGUCACACCAUGGGAGUGGGCUGCAAAAGAAGUGGGUAGUUUAACCUUUCGAGGAGGACGCUCACCACUUUUUUUCA